AUAAAACUAAAAUUCUAUUCUUACUUACGUAAAAUUGUGGGGAAUUUAUGACCGCCACAAUAUGCACAUUUUUUGUGACAUCUUUCAACUUAUUCUCACUAUUAAUCUUAAUCCAAAUUAACAUAUACUUAUUGUAGAAAUUUUUUAAUUAUUGCCACUUAUUCGAUGCACUAUAUGUGGCCAUAGCAAAUUUUGGUCACAAAAACAAUAAGAAAC
rnacentral:lncRNA from 1 species